rnacentral:rRNA from 1 species
GUCUACGGCCAUGCCACCCUGAACAAGCCCGAUUCCGUCUGAUCUCAGAAGCUAAGCAGGGUCAGGCCUGGUUAGUACUUGGAUAGGAGACCACCUAGGAAAACCAGGUGCUGUAGGUC